rnacentral:rRNA from 1 species
UACGGGGGGUGCAAGCGUUAUCCGGAUUCACUGGGUUUAAAGGGCGCGUAGGUGGGUUGGUAAGUCAGUGGUGAAAUCCCCGAGCUUAACUUGGGAACUGCCAUUGAUACUAUCAGUCUUGAAUAUUGUGGAGGUCAGCGGAAUAUGUCAUGUAGCGGUGAAAUGCUUAGAUAUGACAUAGAACACCAAUUGCGAAGGCAGCUGGCUACGCAUAUAUUGACACUGAGGCUCGAAAGCGUGGGGAUCAAACAGG